rnacentral:tRNA from 1 species
UCCUCGUAGUAUAAUAAUUACCCUGGUCUUGUAAACCAAAAAUGAAGUAUAAACCCUUCCUAGGAC